UGCAUGCAGGAAGCUCCCCCGAGAGGGCAUGUUUUUGUUUUGUUUUGUUUUUGUUUUUGUUUUUUACAAGGUGCUGGUCAGAGAGUAUAGAAGAGAAAGUGGUGAGACCGGAUGAUCGGUCGUACGGAAAAUCUUCGAACGUCAGCCCAAAUCAAUACUUACGCGCUGGCCGGACGGAGUGCUGGUUUUCCGCAACUCAAUGCCAGGCGUGAUAACGACCUUUCUCGUGCGGGUCUGGACGGAGGGAGAGGAGUCGCACACCGUGGGUGGAAAUCGUCCUCCACAAGGCUCCGCAUCACAACAGAUGGAUGGAUGGACGGACGUACUGUACUUCCAGUCGAGAACUCAGCAAAGCCAGAGGAGCUCUCCAGCAUGUCCCCCAUUAGCGCAAUUACUGAUAAUUACUGUGAUCAACCGACCUGUGCUGAUGUGAAGAAGUCGGAUACAGCCACCGUGUGGAGCUGCUACGUAGGCGUGAAAUAACUUUAGCGUCGGAAUAGAAUUUGUUAAAUAAUGAUCGUCAAACAUAGCAAUGCUGCCAAACAACUCCAAAUUAGAUGUUAUUGAAAAUAAAUAAAUACUGUAAUGUACUGUAUUGCUGGAUUGUAUUAACGUUUACUUAAAAGUAAACGUUUUCGAAAUCUUUCACAAAUUAUGUUCUCAGGUUUAUCUUGGCAUUGCACAUAGAUCUAGCUUUCCAGCGAGAACGGCACUGGUGCAGUUUUACACAUUAAAAAGGCUCGAAUAAGAUCCAACUGAUCCAAAAAUGUGUUUGUCCAUAAACAUAAUGAAGUAUCACUUGAAGCUUCUUGACCAGGAAAAAAAUAUUAACAUGUUCAAUCAAGUGUUUAUAAUCUUUGUAAGCUAAUUGUGUCUGAUUUGGCCUGGUGGGCUUGCAAAACGAAUUAGGCUAAUUACGAAGAAACAUCCUUCGGACUUUUACUACAUUAACUACAUAAUGGUUUUAUGUCCAUUUUCUGCCUCAUGCUUUAGGAAUAUGCAUUUCAUUAAAAAAAAAUAAUCAGACCGGCUAACGAAAACUUACAACAUUGUUAUAUCCCACAUAUCAGAAUUGUCUUUUCACUGAUUCUGCCAGUUUGUCAUUAGUCCUAUUUGCAUGUUUAAAUUUCAACUAAGGCCGACCUUCCUACAGAUUACUUCUCGGUCCUCAGUUUCAUGUAAACUUAAAGAGUAGCGUUCAACUAACACAGAUGCCGCUGACGACUGAUAGGCCGAAUGCGGCUCCACUGUGUCGUCUUUCCUCUGCCCUGAAGGGACAUUUGGCAGCCAGUGCAGUCCGAAAUCUUGCCUGCAACGAGAUUCACUAAUUAGCUCGGCAAAACAACCAAAUUAAUAAAUGAUCACAGAGUUUGCGCUGCGAGCUUAUACCAAGGGAAGAGAUGAUAUGACUUAGUCAACUGAAGCAGCCUUAGAUUUUUUAAAAUCAAUGAUGUUUCAGGACGACUGCGACGUUGCUGGUGCGAAAGGAGACCUCUCCUGUGUGCCAGUUAAAAGCAGACAGAUGCGUUUCUAAAUCGAGAGGCGAACUCUCGUGAAAACCAGUCGCUUCUUCAUUUGCACUACUGCUCGUCAAUUAUAAACGGUAAGCGCUGUCACGUCAAGCGCAUGUUUAUUUCAUGAACAGCAACCCUAAUGAAAGAUAAGAAGUGUUGACAGGCCUGUGAAAAAUGAAUUACACUCCUCGUUUUCAUUCCCUGAGAUAACCCGAAACCGAAAAUUGCGUUUAAGAAAAUAACAGUUCACUUGGACGUGUGGCUUAGAUGCCCGGCACACCCUGUCCUGGCAUAUUUAAAUACUCUGGCGAUUUUACAGUAGCCUAUAUUUGAGUCAUGUGGUACUUCGAUGCAGUUCUAUGGAUCUGAUAACAUAGACAUAGGAUACCUCCAAAAUCACAUAGUAUACUAAAUAGCAUGUCAGAAUGGCUAUAUUUGCAAACUUAAGUCAUUAUCCUCACAUGUGACACUGAUUCAGUCAAGCGUCCAAAAUGUGCCCAAACUAUUUGCUCACACACAUGCUCAUAAAAUUGUAUCGCAGUACAUUAGUAGCAUGCAGUAUGUAGUUUGUGACAUUGGAUGCAGCCAAAGUGUUGCAAACGCCUACUCCUUGCUGCACGUUUCCAAGCCUCCUGAUCCUGUACAACAUUCUACCCUGAGCGGAAGCAGGCCAGCCUGAAGCACGGCUGCAUGGCAAACAGAUGGACCCCCAGUCUGAUUCCUCUGCUUCCUCUUUAGCAUGGGGGCAGCCUAAGUUAAAAACUGGCUUUGGUCAUAAUAAAAGUGCAAGGGGGAGGUCAGGUGGUAGCACCAUGGAGCUGGAAAUGUCCGUUCCUGCUGAGCAGACAUGAGGAGCAAACAGUCCCCAGAUCCUAGGUUUGGGUUUUCCUCAAGCGGGGAGGCAUUGUGCAUAUUUAGCAAUGUAACUUGGGCGGGCAGCUCAAAAAAAAUCACGCCACCUAUUGACUCAUCUGCUGAAACAGACACUACUGCAUAACUGGCAGUGUGUGAUAGUAUCUGGUACACCAGUACAGCUGCACAAGGCAGACAGACAUUACACAGAAUCCCAAACCAAUGUAUUUUUUUAUUAAACAGUGAGUAAAAGGACUAUUGUCAGAACAGAGGCUCAGCUGUAAUGAGUGAUGUUACCCACCCAAGACUAGACCGAGUUUUCUGGUACCAAACUAUUCACAUCUCUUUGGCUGGAAUUAUCAUCUGAUUACACUAAUAUACAUUUUGUCUGUGCUAUUCUUGCUUUCUUUUUUUAACAGUUAUCCUUUAAAUAGCUGUCCUUUAACACUAAUGCACUUGCAUUUUCUCAGAGUGUUUCUUAUAUUGUGCUGUCCCGUCUGAGAGUGAUUACUCAUACUCAUCUCUAUUAUCUACAGUGAAAACCAGAAGCAAUGGUGCAGUUACACAAGUUUUGUUUAGUCAGUUCUGUUUGUUGUAAUCUGGCAAUUGGAUUUGAAAUGAAACAAUGCUUACAGGUUUAUAAUGCAUAUCUUUAGUUCUAUUUUGAGGAGUUUUAUGUAUUAAUUACAGCCCUUUUAAUAGACAGUUGUCAUAUUCCAGGGGGAUCGUAAGUAAUUCAGGGGACUUUAAAUUCUCAACACCAUUCUGGUAAAUCAAGCAGUUGCUACAUUAAUUCUGAGACUGCAUGCUGAGUUUGCUGUUAGUAUGAUGUAGUGCAUAUAGAGCUUGUCAUUGAUACAUGAUGUGAUGGGGGAGGUGAGGUUAAAUAAAGUCAGCCAGCUUUGCUCGGUA